rnacentral:tRNA from 1 species
GGGGAUUUGGCUUAGUGGUAGAGCGCUUGCCUAGGAAGCGCAAGGUCCUGGGUUCGGUCCCCAGCCCCG